CCCUAUGGGGUGCAGCAGGCCGUGCACGCGUUUGAGGCGGCGCACGUCUCGUUCCUUCUCGCCGGUGGCCUUAAGCACAACGGUGACCAUGCGCGUCUCAGCUUGCGGAUCACGCUUGCGCGAUUCGGCAACGCGGGGGGCAACGAUAAGCGGCGGCAUUUCACCGAUGGUGCUUUGCGCAGUCGGGCGCUCGAGCACGGCAGUGACAGCAGCAGCCUGCGCACGGGUUGGUUCGGUCAUCACUGCAACAGGCGCGGUAGUCGUGACUGCGCUGGCUGCAUCUGAACGCGCUGAAAUUGAAUCGACAGGCGGGGGCAUCAGGUGCCAGUCAUCCGGUUCCAUUGGCGGGAGAGC
rnacentral:rRNA from 1 species